rnacentral:rRNA from 1 species
CAGCCGCCGCGGUAAUACGAAGGGUGCGAGCGUUACUCGGAAUUACUGGGCGUAAGGCGUGCGUAGGUGGUGGUUUAAGUCCGUUGUGAAAGCCCUGGGCUCAACCUGGGAAUUGCAGUGGAUACUGGGUCACUAGAGUGUGGUAGAGGAUAGUGGAAUUUCCGGUGUAGCAGUGAAAUGUGUAGAGAUCGGAAGGAACAUCUGUGGCGAAGGCGACUAUCUGGGCCAACACUGACACUGAGGCACGAAAGCGUGGGGAGCAAACAGGAUUAGAUACCCCGGUAGUCCCUGUCUCUUAUAC